GUCUACCGCCAUGCCACCCUAAACAAACCAGAUGUCUGAUCUCAGAAGCUAAGCAAGGCCGGGCCUGGUUAGUACUUGGAUGGGAGACCACCUAGGAAGACCAGGUGCUGUAGGCA
rnacentral:rRNA from 1 species